rnacentral:rRNA from 1 species
GACGAACGCUGGCGGCGUGCUUAACACAUGCAAGUCGAACGCUGAAGCCCUUCGGGGUGGAUGAGUGGCGAACGGGUGAGUAACACGUGGGCAAUCUGCCCUGCACUCUGGGAUAAGCCUUGGAAACGGGGUCUAAUACCGGAUAGGACACAUCGCCGCAUGGUGUGUGUGUGGAAAGUUCCGGCGGUGCAGGUUGAGCCCGCGGCCUAUCAGCUUGUUGGUGGGGUGAUGGCCUACCGAGGCGACGACGGGUAGCCGGCCUGAGAGGGUGACCGGCCACACUGGGACUGUGACACGGCCCAGACUCCUACGGGAGGCAGCAGUGGGGAAUCUUGCGCAAUGGGCGAAAGCCUGACGCAGCAACGCCGCGUGGGGGAUGACGGCCUUCGGGUUGUAAACCUCUUUCGACCGGGACGAAGGAUUCGUUUGACGGUACCGGUAGAAGAAGCACCGGCUAACUACGUGCCAGCCGCCGCCGUAACAC